rnacentral:rRNA from 1 species
GUAACACGUAUGUAACCUACCCUUAUCAGGGGGAUAGCCUCUCGAAAGAGAGAUUAAGCCCGCAUAAAAUUGUACCAUAGCAUUAUGGAACAAUCAAAUAUUUAUAGGAUGAGGAUGGGCAUGCGGAACAUUAGCUAGUUGGUAAGGUAACGGCUUACCAAGGCGACGAUGUUUAGGGGAUCUGAGAGGAUGACCCCCAACUGGUACUGAGACACGGACCAGACUCCUACGGGAGGCAGCAGUAAGGAAUAUUGGUCAAUGGGCGGAAGCCUGAACCAGCCAUGCCGCGUGCAGGAAGACGGCCCUACGGGUUGUCAAACUGCUUUUGUGCCAGAAUAAACCCUCAUUCGAGAAUGAGGUUGAAUGUAUGGUAAGAAUAAGGAUCGGCUAAUUCCGUGCAGAGCGGGUAAUACGGAGGAUCCGAGCGUAUCCGGAUUAUAGGGUUAAAAAGGGUGCGUAGGCGGCUUUGUAAGUCAAGG